GACGAACGCUGGCGGCGUGCUUAACACAUGCAAGUCGAACGGUAAGGCCCUUCGGGGUACACGAGUGGCGAACGGGUUAGUAACACGUGAGUGAUCUGCCCAGCACGUCGGGAUAAGCCUGGGAAACUGGGUCUAAUACCGGAUAGGACCACUGCCUGCAUUGGUGGUGGUGGAGAGGCUUUGGGGUGUGGGAUGGGCCCGCGGCCAAUCAGCUUGUUGGGGGGGUGAUGGCCUACCAAGGCGAGGACGGGUAGCCGGCCUGGGAGGGGGACCGGCCACACUGGGACUGAGAUACGGCCCAGUAUCCUACGGGAGGCAGCAGUGGGGAAUAUUGCACAAUAGGCGCAAGCCUGAUGCAGAGAUGCCGGGAGAGGGAUGACGGCCUUCGGGUUGUAAACCUCUUUCAGCACCGACGAAGCGCAAGUGACGGUAGGUGCAGAAGAAGGACCGGCCAACUACGUGCCAGCCGCCGCGGUAACAC
rnacentral:rRNA from 1 species